AGACAACAAAGGAAACUCUCCGAGGACC
rnacentral:piRNA from 1 species